AGUGAACGCUGGCGGUAGGCCUAACACAUGCAAGUCGAACGGCAGCACAGUAAGAGCUUGCUCUUACGGGUGGCGAGUGGCGGACGGGUGAGGAAUACAUCGGAAUCUACUUUUUCGUGGGGGAUAACGUAGGGAAACUUACGCUAAUACCGCAUGCGACCUACGGGUGAAAGCAGGGGAUCUUCGGACCUUGCGCGAUUGAAUGAGCCGAUGUCGGAUUAGCUAGUUGGCGGGGUAAAGGCCCACCAAGGCGACGAUCCGUAGCUGGUCUGAGAGGAUGAUCAGCCACACUGGAACUGAGACACGGUCCAGACUCCUACGGGAGGCAGCAGUGGGGAAUAUUGGACAAUGGGCGCAAGCCUGAUCCAGCCAUACCGCGUGGGUGAAGAAGGCCUUCGGGUUGUAAAGCCCUUUUGUUGGGAAAGAAAAGCAGCAGGUUAAUACCCCGCUAUUCUGACGGUACCCAAAGAAUAAGCACCGGCUAACUUCGUG
rnacentral:rRNA from 1 species